rnacentral:lncRNA from 1 species
AUAUUUUUUUUGGGGAAACUUCAAAAUACCCGUCCACUUAUUUCGCACUUUCUCACUUUAGUACACUAUGGUUUAAAGUGUAUCAAGUUAGUACCAUAUGGUUUCAAGUGUAUCAAAUUAGUACCCUAUGGUUUUGCACUUUCUCACUUUAGUACCCUGUGAUUCAAGUGUAUCAAGUUACAGUUAAUUUAUUGUACACUAGCUAUUAUAGCAAUUAUAAAUUAAGAUAAAGUUUAAUUUGCCUCUUCGUAGUUUAGCUUAUUUUUAUUUUGCCAUCCUGUAAUUCAAAAAGUUACAGUUAAUUAUUCUACAGUAACAAAAAAAAUUUUACUUCACUAUCCUAAUUGAUAGUAGAUUUUAUAGGUAAAAAUAGAUAUAAAAUCAGAGGAUUAUUAAAUAUAACUUUUUAAACUACGAGGUCACAAAGUAAAAAUGAGUUAAAUUACAUGAGAAAAAUUAAAAUUUAUCCUAAAAAGUAUUAAUUUUUAAACCACUUAAAUAAGAGACAAAUAAUAUAAAAAACUAGUAAAAUUUAGAGAGUUCAAAUAGCCCAAAUUAUAUUUACCAAACUAAUAAAAUUUAGAGAGUUCAAAUAGCCCAAAUUAUAUUUACCGGCGUUGAUCGUCAAUUCUUAUAUAUAUAUAUAUAUAUAUAGCUAGGCUGCUAUACUAUCGGUAGCACGGACGCCUCCGUGCUAUCAAGUUAUUUUCAAUAAUGCCGCUUCCAAAUCGACGAUUGGUUCCAUUAGACUUGAUCUACAAUAUUGAAAGUAUUUGGAAACUAAAUUUUAUAAUUUUUCGGUAUCAUUUAUCUAUCAAAUGAAUAGUCUAAAAAUGAACGGUUGAAAAUAAAAAUCUCAUAAAAAAUGAUGAUAGAAGACUUGAAUUUAAGAUCCGAAAUACUGAUCUUACUCUAAAUAGUAAAAAGAAUUUUCUAUAAAAUUUCAUCUGAUUUGAAUUGUUUUACACCGUUAAAUUUACAAAUACAUCACAUCUAUCAUUAAAAUUGUCAAUUUUGAGAUCUUUUUAUCACUAGCCAAAUGAUGUAAACAAAUUCUGAAAUUUAGUUUCCAAAUACUUUCAAUAGUAUAGAAAAAAAUGGAGCCGAUCGUCGAUUUGGAAGUCGCAUCAUCGAAAACAACUUGGUAGCACAGAAACCUCCAUGCUACCG